AUGGCAGAUAAAAUCACAAGUAAAAUUUGCGUGAAAGACACAGAUAUGAGUCGGUGCGCUCAAGAGCAGCAAUCUCAAUGCGAUCCCACAUGUCGGUGCGCUCAAGAGCAGCAAUCUCCUAUGCCAUCACAUGCCGUCGUUCGGGAAGAACACAAUGACUCGGUAAGAAGUCGUCUCGAGAAGAGCAGCGUCAGAACACCCAUAGCGGACAAUAGGCGGAAGCGGGCGACCGCGGAAGCCAUAAGCAGGUUGAGCCGGAGGAGGUGGGUUGCCAAUAGAAGGAGACAUAAUAGUCCAGGAUGGCGCAUAUGA
rnacentral:rRNA from 1 species